GGGGGGGGGGGGGGGGUGUUGGUGUGGCGUGUGGGGAGCAAACUACCUUUCAUUCCUUUUACAAUCUUUCCCCCAAUUUUUGGGUGAAGAAAAAAGGUCAUUUAAUAAAAUAUGGCCAGCUUCUGUAUAAGAACAGUAUAGACUCAGCAACCAUAUCUCAACAAAAAAAAAAUCAAGUCACAAGACUAUAAGACUAUUAAGCCAUCUCUCACUAACGACAGAGUGCAACAAAUUUUCGAAGAUACCGAUUUAAGGAAAGGAAUCAGACAACUAAUUCUUUCUCAAAGGGUCUCCUAAUCUCUCACCAGACACACCAACACCAUCAGGAAAAGUUGGGCUCUCUCACAUAUAAUAACACUACAUGUUUCUGACCAUAAGGAUCUUCUGAAGGAGGCAAAUGUUUCAUGGCUUUCUGCAGUCAUGCAUGCAAUGCAAAU
rnacentral:misc_RNA from 1 species